rnacentral:tRNA from 1 species
GUCAGGAUGGCCGAGUGGUCUAAAGCGCUAGAUUCAAGUUUUGGUCCUCGUGAGAGGGCGUGGGUUCAAAUCCCAAUUCUGACG